GCGCGAAAACUUUACAAUGCGGGAAACCGUGAUAAGGGAACUCCGAGUGCCCGUAAAAUCGGGCUGUCCACCAGUUUAAAUAACUGGUGAAGAAAGGGCCGGGCAAGACCGGUGCCAGCCGCCGCGGUAAUACCGGCGGCUCGAGUGGUGGCCACUAUUACUGGGCUUAAAGCGUUCGUAGCUGGUCUGUUAAGUCUCUGGGGAAAUCUACUGGCUUAACCAAUAGACGUUUCAGGGAUACUGGCAGACUAGGGACCGGGAGAGGUGAGAGGUACUCCAGGGGUAGGAGUGAAAUCCUGUAAUCCUUGGGGGACCACCUGUGGCGAAGGCGUCUCACCAGAACGGCUCCGACAGUGAGGGACGAAAGCUGGGGGAGCAAACCGGAUUAGAUACCCGGGUAGUCCCAGCUGUAAACGAUGCGGACUAGGUGUUGAAGCGGCUACGGGCCG
rnacentral:rRNA from 1 species